rnacentral:rRNA from 1 species
GUGGGGAAUAUUGGGCAAUGGGGGAAACCCUGACCCAGCAACGCCGCGUGAAGGAAGAAGGCUUUCGGGUUGUAAACUUCUUUUAUGAGGGACGAAGAAGUGACGGUACCUCAUGAAUAAGCCACGGCUAACUACGUGCCAGCAGCCGCGGUAAUACGUAGGUGGCAAGCGUUGUCCGGAUUUACUGGGUGUAAAGGGCGCGUAGGCGGGAUAGCAAGUCAGGUGUGAAAUCCGGGGGCUUAACCCUCGAACUGCACUUGAAACUGUUAUUCUUGAGUGAUGGAGAGGCAAGCGGAAUUCCUAGUGUAGCGGUGAAAUGCGUAGAUAUUAGGAGGAACACCAGUGGCGAAGGCGGCUUGCUGGACAUUAACUGACGCUGAGGCGCGAAAGCGUGGGGAGCAAACAGGAUUAGAUACCCCUGUAGUCC